CCCUUAGAUGUUCGGGGCCGCACGCGCGCUACACUGAAUGAAUCAGCGAGUGUAUGUCCUAGGCCGAAAGGUCCGGGUAACCCGUUGAACCUCAUUCGUGAUUGGGAUAGGGACUUGCAAUUGUUUCCCUUGAACGAGGAAUUCCCAGUAAGCGCAAGUCAUCAGCUUGCGUUGAUUACGUCCCUGCCCUUUGUACACACCGCCCGUCGCUACUACCGAUUGAAUGGUUUAGUGAGAUCCUUGGACUGGUCCCGCUGUCGGACAGGCAACUGUUUGCAGCGCGUGCGCCGGGAAGAAGGUCGAACUUGACUAUCUAGAGGAAGUAAAAGUCGUAACA
rnacentral:rRNA from 1 species